GCGGGCGUGGUGACUCACGCCUGUAAUCCCAGCACUUUGGGAGGCCGAGGCGGGCGGAUCACGAGGUCAGGAGAUCAAGACCAUCCUGACCAACACGGUGAAACGCCGUCUCUACUAAAAAUACAAAAAGUUAGCCGGGCGCGGUGGCGGNNNNNNNNNNCCGCCACCGCGCCCGGCUAACUUUUUGUAUUUUUAGUAGAGACGGCGUUUCACCGUGUUGGUCAGGAUGGUCUUGAUCUCCUGACCUCGUGAUCCGCCCGCCUCGG
rfam:Gorilla gorilla gorilla genomic chromosome, chr11, whole genome shotgun sequence